GAUGAACGCUAGCGGCAGGCCUAAUACAUGCAAGUCGGACGGGAUUCGGGGAGUAGCUUGCUACGAACCGAUGAGAGUGGCGCACGGGUGCGUAACGCGUGAGCAACCUACCCAUAUCUGGGGGAUAGCCUCUCGAAAGAGAGAUUAACACCGCAUAACAUCAUCGAGUGGCAUCACUCGAUGAUCAAAUAUUCAUAGGAUAUGGAUGGGCUCGCGUGACAUUAGCUAGUUGGAGAGGUAACGGCUCACCAAGGCUACGAUGUCUAGGGGCUCUGAGAGGAGAAUCCCCCACACUGGUACUGAGACACGGACCAG
rnacentral:rRNA from 1 species